UACGUAGGGGGCAAGCGUUGUCCGGAUUCAUUGGGCGUAAAGAGCUCGUAGGCGGCUUGGCAAGUCGGGUGUGAAAACUCCAGGCUCAACCUGGAGACGCCACCCGAUACUGCUAUGGCUUGAGUCCGGUAGGGGACCACGGAAUUCCUGGUGUAGCGGUGAAAUGCGUAGAGAUCAUGAGGAAGACCAGUGGCGAAGGCGGGUCUCUGGACAGUUCCUGACACUGAGGCACGAAGGCCAGGGGAGCAAACGGG
rnacentral:rRNA from 1 species